rnacentral:rRNA from 1 species
UACGUAGGUGGCAAGCGUUGUCCGGAUUUAUUGGGUUUAAAGGGUGCGUAGGCGGCUCAUUAAGUCAGUUGUUGAAAUACUUCAGCUUAACUGGAGAGGUGCAAUUGAUGACUGGAGAGCUAGAGUACUGGAUGAGGUAAGCGGAAGUGGAUGGUGUAGCGGUGAAAUGCAUAGAUAUCAUCCAGAACACCGAUUACGAAGGCAGGUGGGCUACGAUUUGAUUUGACACUGAGGCACGAAAGCAUGGGGAGCAAA